AGGGAAGGUCUGCUGGAUACCAGUGAAGGGGCACAGAAUCACCACCUGGGGAGAGUGGAGCACAGUGUCUCCGGCAUUGAGUCUCCAGUAGGGUCCUCUUCGUGAUGUUCAGCAGGCUCCCAGCCCCACAUUUAGAGACAUCUGUAUUAGGACUCUCAAGGAAUGGCACCUUUUCUGUUGCCUAUCUCAUUAAAUCUUAAAUCAAGAAAUGCAACCUCCAAGGAGUCUUCCAAAAAUGAAGAAAGUGGACUUCAAGGUACCUGUUCUGUGCCCUGCCCUGGCUGAGGUCAUAAAAUGCACAGGCCUCCUCUCCCCGCUUUGCCCAGCUAAGCAGAAAACCACCUGAAAACACACUUCUGCUGAUGUAUUGGCUAUUUGGAUUCUGGACUCACACCCUAUUUCUUCUCCAAUCCAAGCAGCAGUUCCACUUAGCCUCCUGGUACCCUCCAGGCUUGCUGCUCUUAGGACCAGGCAAGCCCUUCCUUUCCAAAGGAAUUUGGGCAUUUCUUCCUUUGUUGAUUCAAUGCCCAGUCCCAUGCCAAGAGCUAGGGAGGUGCCCUCAAGGAACUUUCAGACUAAUUAUGAAAACAGGUAUGGCCAUCACUAGGAUGUUCACUCAACACCCUUUCCAAUCACCUUCUUCCUAGUCCACUUCUAUUCUACAGGCUGAAAGCUAACUGCCCAAUUUCCCAGUUUUCACUGCAGCUAGGGUGUCCACAUAAUACAUAUUUGGCCAGUGAAAUGUAGCCAGAAGUUCCAAGGAGGGCUCUGCUUUUUUCAAAAUAAGGCAUCAUUUGCCAGAAAACAGUCUUUAUGCCCCUUGUCAAAGCCUUUAUCCCCAUUUUCUCUCCCCCUCUUUCUGUCUGGAACAUAGAUAAGAUGCCUAGAGAUUCAGUAGCUAUCAUGUGCUCAUGAGGCAACAAAUUGGAGGAUGAAAGUCCCAGUGCUGGCGAUGGUAACGCAGAGAGGGAGCAGGUGCAUCAGAAAGCAGCUGCACCAGCCCUGAGCUGACCACAUUUGGAUUUCCUGGCUGAAGAAAUGCAGGAUGAGCUGAAAAAAAUAAGCUCCUAGUUGUUUAACACUGCACUUGAAUCUUCUGAUCCUUGCAGCCAAAUAUUUUCCUAAUAUAAGAAGAUAAAUAAAGUUAAGCAAUAAUAAAA
rnacentral:lncRNA from 10 species